CCUACGGGGGGCAGCAGUGGGGAAUAUUGCACAAUGGGGGAAACCCUGAUGCAGCGACGCCGCGUGAGUGAAGAAGUAAUUCGGUAUGUAAAGCUCUAUCAGCAGGGAAGAAAAUGACGGUACCUGAGUAAGAAGCCCCGGCUAACUACGUGCCAGCAGCCGCGGUAAUACGUAGGGGGCAAGCGUUAUCCGGAUUUACUGGGUGUAAAGGGAGCGUAGACGGCAGUGCAAGGUCUGAGGUAAAGGCGGGGGCUCAACCCCCGGACUGCUCUUGAAACUGUACGGCUGGAGUGCAGGAGAGGUAAGUGGAAUUCCUAGUGUAGCGGUGAAAUGCGUAGAUAUUAGGAGGAACACCAGUGGCGAAGGCGGCUUACUGGACUGUAACUGACGUUGAGGCUCGAAAGCGUGGGGAGCAAACAGGAUUAGAUACCCGGGUAGUC
rnacentral:rRNA from 1 species